CUACACUGGCAGAUAGUCAAAGUCUAGGACACAGAACAGCUACAUGAGGAGCGGAAAGAUGGACACAAUUCACAAGGUGGACUACAAAGUGUGACGGAGCGAGCAAAGGAUUUCGUUAGUACGUACCAGGCCGGUUUCGUGGACGGGAAAUCGAUCUCAGUCGAUCGCGAAGUGCUACGGAAGGUCAUUUCGUCAUGUACGAGAACGGCUUUCCCGGGAAGCUGAUCAGAAUGGUGAAAUAAACGAUGGACGAGGCACGGUUCAGCGUGAAGAUUUCGGGUCCUAUGUCCGACCCGAUCGCGCAUGGGACGGCGACAAGGCGACGGUUUCUCCGGCCUCUGUUUCAACAUUGGGCUUGAAGGUGUUAUGAGGCGGGCGAGCUUCAUACGGGACAUGAGUCCCUAAGGGCUCGCAUAGGACCGAUCGUGAGGAUCGACGGGGACGAAUUCGAAGUCGUGUAGGAGUUUGUGUACCUCUGAUCGUUGGUGACGUCGGAUAAUAAAUGCAGCAGAGAAUUUCGGAGGCGCUCCAUCACCGUUAGUCGUGCUUAAUGUGGACUCCACAAGACGUACAAAGCAGACGUGCAUCGGCACUCAAUAGCACUUCACCACAUUUUGAGAUGAUUGCCUUCGUAAACCGGCAGAGUUAAUCUUUGCUCACUGUGCAUCAAAACAAGCUGCUAUUGAGUGCCGACGCACGUCUGCUACAAAGUGCACCAUGUGAAGCUGCAAUCGCAUGAUGUUUUCGAACGUCGAUUGGUUAGGACUAUCUUUGGCGAACCAUGUAUUUGGAUACGGCCAGAUACGUCGGUUGCUCGACAACCGAACCGGACGACCAAUACGGUGAAGUUGGUGUUCAUUUCGGUACCGGUUGAAUAGCGGCAAAGGGGGUGCAGGACUCCCACGAGGUAGUUCCGGUAGCUCGUAUCCUGUUCAGCAAGCUCAGUUUAUUAUUAUUAUCACGGAAGAGAUGGGUUUGCUACCUCCGCAACUAUUUGCCCGUCUCCUGAAUGUGUGUACGGUCUUUGAAUCACUGAAUCUGGUUGACUUGCCAGACAUGAGUUGCCGAAGCUUUGCCACCACCAAGUAGUGGUCCGAGUCGAUGUUCGCUACACGAUAGGUUCGAUCAUGUCCGAGAAGUGUCGUUAGUUAGACGUUAGUUGAACUCUAAAAGCGCUGAAAUAGAAAGGUUACGUGCUGAUGGGGGUGAAAAACGUGCGAUUUGAGGGCCAUUUUCUUUCGCGGGCUGAGUCUUCCAAAUGUACCAACUUUUAUUCUUUUUCAGGUCCUGUCUGGGCUUAAACCCUCCCUACAUGGGCCACUACAUCGUGCUGUGUGGGUACGAUCAAAGGAUAAACAAGUUUCUUUAUAGAAACCCCGCCUUCAAAGACAGAGUGUGCUUCAUGUCGUUCGACGCGAUGGACCGGUCGCGGCGGGUCAGCGGAACCGACGAGGAUCUUAUUUUAAUCUACCAAAACGAGCCAUGAUCACCAUGAUCGACGUGGAGCGAAUCCUACACCAGUUGCAUUUAAUUUAUUCCGGCCCGAGUCGCGCAAGGAUUUCGGAUUCCACAGCUGGCACAAACACACAGUGUCUUCAUCACAACGAUUUUUUUUAUUCACUAUACUGUAUCAUAGCAAUAAUAACUUAUGCCCUAAAAGUCCUAGCGGGUAAUUUCUACUGAUGUGUGCUUUGUACAUAAUAGAUUUUAUCUCAUUAAAACAAAAUAAAACAAAUCAGUUUACAAUGCUUAA